UGCGGUGUGCCGAUUCCUGCUGCUGUUACCUUUGAAGACUUUGCAGACGUCGACAGCACAGUGUCGUGUGCCAAACUGAAUAAUGACGAAAUAAUUGAGCAAGUUCUCCCACCGUCAAACAGCAACUCUAGCUCGGAUGAUGAUGUGCCGUGUCCACCGGAGCC
rnacentral:lncRNA from 1 species